rnacentral:ncRNA from 1 species
UAAGAAUUUAAUUCUGGUUCAUAAAAUGACUUAGUCAUGGUUUUACAUGUGAAUUUUUGUAGGUUAUAGUAUAAAUCUAAAAGAUUGUAUUAGUAUUUGUAAUCGCAGUUUUUAAUUUUAAAAAUUUAAUUAAUGUUAGAAUUAUUUAUUGAUUAUUUAAUUAGCUAAUAGCGUGCCAGCAGCUGCGGUUAUACGCUUAAUUAAAGUUAUUUUGAUUUAAUUGUAAUUUUAUUGAUCCUUUUGAAUAAAGAUUAUCUUCUUUUGAAGUGAAAUUUAAAUUUUAUUUAUUGUUUUGGUUUUAAAUUUUACGAAAUUUUUGGUAUAAACUAGGAUUAGAUACCCUAUUAUUUUAAAUGUAAAUUAAUGUUAGUAUUAAUAGUUAUGAUCUUUAAAUUAAAAGGAUUUGACGGUGAUUUAAUCUGUUCAGAGGAGCCUGUAUCUUAAUUCGAUAAUCCACGUUAAAUUUAACCUUGAAAAUUAGAAUAGUUUGUAUAUCUCUGUCUUUAGAAUGUUUUUUAAAAUUUAUUUUCGUUUAUUAUUAUAAAUACAUGUCAGGUCAAGGUGCAGCUUUUUGAGGGGAUAAUGGGCUACACUAACUCUAUAAUUUUGGAUAGUGAGUUGUAUUACUUGUUUUAAAAUGGAUUUGGGUGUAAAGAUUAUUAUAUAUUAGUAUUGAUAUUUGCUCUGAGUUAAGUACAUAUCGCCCGUCGCUCUUAUUAUUAAGAUAAGAUAAGUCGUAACAAAGUAGGCUUACCGGAAGGUUAGCCUGGAAUUAUU